UGGGGAAUAUUGGACAAUGGGCGCAAGCCUGAUCCAGCCAUGCCGCGUGAGUGAUGAAGGCCCUAGGGUUUUAAAGCUCUUUCACCGGUGAAGAUAAUGACUGUAACCGGAGAAGAAGCCCCGGCUAACUUCGUGCCAGCAGCCGCGGUAAUACGAAGGCGGCUAGCGUUGUUCGGAUUUACUGGGCGUAAAGCGCACGUAGGUGGGCUUUUAAAUAAGGAGUGAAAUCCCGGGGCCCAACCCCGGAACUGCCUUUGAUACUGGAAGGGUUGAGUAUGGUAGAGGUGAGUGGAAUUCCGAGUGUAGGAGUGAAAAUCGUAGAUAUUCGGGGGAAAAACAGUGGUGGAGGCGGCACACUGGACCGUUACUGACGCUGAGGUGCGAAAGCGUGGGGGGCAAACAGG
rnacentral:rRNA from 1 species